CAAUACAGGGUCAAACGAUUCUGUAAUUGGAAUGAACUAAGCUUAAAACCCUUUAUGAGUAACAAUUGGAGGGCAAGUCUGGUGCCAGCAGCCGCGGUAAUUCCAGCUCCAAUAGCGUAUAUUAAAGUUGUUGCAGUUAAAAAGCUCGUAGUUGGAUUUCGAUUAAUAUAAUAUAUAUUUCUAAGAUGUAUAUAUUAUUAUUAAUCUUUCCCCCCAUACUCACGUGUGGGGGAUUUUA
rnacentral:rRNA from 1 species